AACGAACGCUGGCGGCAGGCCUAACACAUGCAAGUCGAACGAACCCUUCGGGGUGAGUGGCGCACGGGUGCGUAACACGUGGGAAUAUACACAUAGGUAAGGAAUAACUCAGGGAAACUUGCGCUAAUACCUUAUAAUAACUCCGGUUCAAAGAUUUAUCGCCUAUGGAUUAGCCCGCGCUAGAUUAGUUUGUUGGUGAGGUAAGAGCUCACCAAGACUACGAUCUAUAGCUGGUCUUAGAGGAUGAUCAGCCACACUGGAACUGAGACACGGUCCAGACUCCUACGGGAGGCAGCAGUGAGGAAUAUUGCGCAAUGGAGGAAACUCUGACGCAGCCAUGCCGCGUGAAUGAAGAAGGCCUUAGGGUUGUAAAAUUCUUUCAGAUGCGAAGAUAAUGACGGUACCAUCAGAAGAAGCUCCGGCUAAAUUCGUGCCAGCAGCCGCGGUAAUGUCAGUG
rnacentral:rRNA from 1 species